CGUAGGGACCAAGCGUUGUCCGGAUUCAUUGGGCGUAAAGAGCUCGUAGGCGGCUCAGUAAGUCGGGCGUGAAACCUCCAGGCUCAACCUGGAGACGCCACCCGAUACUGCUGUGGCUAGAGUCCAGUAGGGGAGCGUGGAAUUCCUGGUGUAGCGGUGAAAUGCGCAGAUAUCAGGAGGAACACCAGCGGCGAAGGCGGCGCUCUGGGCUGGAACUGACGCUGAGGAGCGAAAGCGUGGGGAGCGAACAGGAUUAGAUACCCUGGUAGUCCACGCCGUAAACGUUGGGUACUAGGUGUGGGGUCUUAUCAACGGAUUCCGUGCCGAAGCUAACGCAUUAAGUACCCCGCCUGGGGAGUACGGCCGCAAGGCUA
rnacentral:rRNA from 1 species